CAGUGACCAUAUUCCAAGCAGAGUCUCAGACCUCGCAAUGGUUAAAGUAAUUUAAUCACAGUGCAUAAAUAGAAUUGCAGCACCAGAUGGCGCCUCCAAGAAGGGACAAACAAAGGUCACGUUGGGAUUUUGUACCCUCAAAGCCUGGAGACAUCAGUUCCUGCUGUGAUCAUGAGUGUGCCAGAGGUCCCUGUGACCUUUACAUGCUCAGGAGCGAAUACACUGAAAACAUGAAGUACCCAAGAGUCACUGUAACAUAAGCAGAACUGUAAAUCCAAGGGAAAGAGCACACCCAAUUUCCCUUUCACUGGAAACAUGCCCCUGCCUGUCUGACAGACAGAGUGAAUCCAGGAAAAUAGAUUGGAAAUAAUCCUGAGUAAAACAAGGGGUAGAACAUGAAGUGAUAUGAACAAAGCGGAAAUCACCUGAACGCUCAAUGAGGUAAAAACCGUAUGAUGCGACCAGGUGAAAAAUGGAGGAAUCAGAAACAGCCCUCAAGGUGAUGAGGGAACAAAAUUACAGAAAAAUACACAGAGAGACAGGAAUUGAAUGCAGGAAAACUUUAUUGCACCAAGAAGGGCAGGAAAGGCAGGAAGGGGCGUAGUGGGCAGGCCAGAGGCAGGCUGGGUGUCACGGGCUGCAAGAAGCUCUGGGACACCUGCGGGCCCUGCUAGAGCCACCAGCAAUAGCCCCAAGGCCCUGGUGCCGCUUCAGCCCAGCAUGGAGAAGCUGAGCUCUGCACAAGCUGCCCUGGCUUCUUGCAGCAAGAAGCUCUGGGACACCUGCGGGCCCUGCUAGGCUUAUCCUGUAGUCUUUUUUGUCUGUCAGCAAUGGAGGAAUCUAGAAGUCGUUCAUCUAAAUCUUUGCCGUUUUUGCUCUUUCCGUUAAAACUUGUCUUUCCCUAUAUUUAGUGUUUUAUUUUGUCUCCACUCUGAAAAUGUAAUCCCUAAUAUUUUCUUUUGUGAAUUUAUUAUGUAUCAGAAUUUAAUUUUUCUUUCCUUUGCUUUGAUCUUUAUUGUUUAUCUCGGUUAUAGUAACCUCAUGUGGUCUUUGCAUUUAUUCAG
rnacentral:lncRNA from 1 species